rnacentral:rRNA from 1 species
UACGGAGGGUGCAAGCGUUAUCCGGAUUCACUGGGUUUAAAGGGUGCGUAGGAGGGCAGGUAAGUCAGUGGUGAAAUCUCCAAGCUUAACUUGGAAACUGCCGUUGAUACUAUCUGUCUUGAAUAUUGUGGAGGUGAGCGGAACAUGUCAUGUAGCGGUGAAAUGCUUAGAUAUGACAUAGAACACCAAUUGCGAAGGCAGCUCACUACACAAUCAUUGACUCUGAGGCACGAAAGCGUGGGGAUCAAACAGG